rnacentral:rRNA from 1 species
CCUACGGGGGGCUGCAGUGAGGAAUAUUGGUCAAUGGGCGAGAGCCUGAACCAGCCAAGUCGCGUGAAGGAUGACGGCCCUACGGGUUGUAAACCUCUUUUGCCAGGGAGCAACUGGGUCCAUGCGUGGGCUUAGCGAGAGUACCUGAAGAAAAAGCAUCGGCUAACUCCGUGCCAGCAGCCGCGGUAAUACGGAGGAUGCGAGCGUUAUCCGGAUUUAUUGGGUUUAAAGGGUGCGUAGGCGGACUGUCAAGUCAGCGGUAAAAAGUCGGGGCUCAACCCCGUCGUGCCGUUGAAACUGGUGUUCGUGAGUGGGCGAGAAGGAUGCGGAAUGCGUGGUGUAGCGGUGAAAUGCAUAGAUAUCACGCAGAACUCCGAUUGCGAAGGCAGCAUACCGGCGCCCAACUGACGCUGAAGCACGAAAGCGUGGGUAUCGAACAGGAUUAGAUACCCGUGUAGUC